ACACACACACACACACACACACACACACACACACACACACACACACACACACACACACACACACACACACACACAUCCUCCCCACCACGUUACAUUCUGAAUGGAUAAGCCUGUUAACGCUCAAACAUCAUUUCUCUCUCAUUACAACUGUUUCAAACGUGAUAUUUAAGUGAGCUCUUCUGUGCUAUCCCUCUCACAUUCUCUGUCAUUACUUUUGUUUACCUCUCAUUCCAUUGUUCCUGCAUACAUUAUCACCUAUUAUCAUUGUCUGAAUGCCGUGCUGUGAAAUACUGUUGUCUGCCCCUUGGUAAAAAAAAACUUCUCUCCCUCCUUUCUCUCUCAUUUUCCCUCUGGCUGCCUCCUUUUACAGGGUAAUAUAUUGUGAUUGUCGUUUAAUUAAUAGCCUGUCUGUGGCAGAAGGGGAAUCGGGAACACAGUCUUCCACCCAGCUCAAAUGUAACAGAACAUUCUCAAUGCCAAUUUGUUCAUCCAUACUAACAAAUUUAUGCUUUUUUAAAUCCUAAGAUUCUGUAAAGAUUUUACAUCUGUGAAUUAUUGAGAAUUGUUCUCCCAUAAACAACCAUUAAUAUGCUGGCUGUUAUAGACACAAGGUAGUUGAAGCAGGGGGACAGUAACCCCCAGCGUACUCAGUGAGUUAAGAUACGUUUAGGUUUUCCAACAUUGUAACUAUGAAUUAUAUUUUAAACACAUGCCUCUGAUUAUCCUUUAAGUUAUUAUUUUAACAGUGCAACAUCAUUUAAAAAAUAGCUAAUUUAGGGCUUUAAACUAAUUUGAUAAUUUGUGCAAACACACACACACACACACACACACACACACACACACACACACUGAGACACACUGAGACACAUUUACUAACACACACAGACAUAAAUACAUAGAAAAACGGGGGGAGAGGGGCUGCUUUUCUAGGGGGCACUCUCAUGGUUUUGGCGCUAAUGCAGGCAUCUGGCAGUGUCUGGUCUGGAGCGUCUUUCCCACCCCAUUACCCCCUGUGUCUCCUGCAGCACCCACCCACACAAUGGUGGGAAAGAGGGGUGGUGGACCUCCGUCAAGAGCUCUCCUCACAAAGCAGUCAUUGUGGAGGGGAGCCAGGAGCAGAAUGAUAAUGUGGACUCCAUCUACUGUUUACCAACAGGCAGACUAGCUACAGACAGACAGCUGCAGUACACAGUACACUACACCGACCUGCAGCCCUGCAGCCCUGCAGCCCAGGCUCAAAGAUCACAGCUCUCUGUUGCUCUCUGCUCUGUUCCCCAGUGCCAGGGGCUAAAAGAAACAUUUAACAGGAAUCUGUAUGGUUGUUUUGUACGUGUGUGUGUGUGUGUGUGUGUGUGUGUGUAGCUAGUCCUUUGCUUCUUCCAGUAAGCUUCUUUAUAUCUGCCCAUCCCUGUAUUCUACACAGUGACACAUCUGCGAUGGAGGCCUUGAGAAUAUGCAAAUCAGGUAUGAGGAGGCCCCUCCCCCCCGUGGAGAGACUGCUAGUCUAAUUAAAGCUUGCUUGGGCAUUAAAGGCACAGUUGUCCUUUGUUGUAUUAAAGGCAUAGUGGAUUUCCUUCAUCAUAAUAAAGGCACAUUUUUUUCUUUGUUAUGUUAAAGCUACAGUAAUCUUUGAUUGUAGUAAAAUACAUAGUGGUUAAUCAUUUAUCAUCCCAUGAUGAAUACAUGCGAGUAUGGGUAGGCUAGGCUACUGUAGAUCUUUCAUCCAAUGCAUGUAAGAUGUAUAAUCACUCAACAAGCAUUGUGAUCUUAUUUUUUGUGUACAAACAAUUAAGCAUACAUUUUUGGGGAUAUGAAUUAAUGUUGCUCCAAAUGAAUGCUAUUUCCCUACAUGAUUUAGUGGGGUAUUAUCCCUAAAUCAAAAUCUCAUAGAAACAUAAUAUAACAUAUUAGGUGGUACGUGUCUAUAGACCUAUUUUUUUUGUAAUUAAAUGAAAUCAUAGUUUAACAAUUGACAUUAUAUUUAACAUAUAUGAGGCAUUAGUCUAUAUGUAUUAUAAGUCACUCUCUCUUUGUAUCUGGUGUGGUUUUGUAUGGCUGCCAUAAAGGCUUCAUAAAAAGAUACCCCACUGUAAGGGAUGAUCUACACUGGCUUUUACAUUUCAUUAGUUACAGUAAAGGGACUUCAGGAUUUAAGGGAUAUUCGGUUAAACUGGAUAUUUUUACAUUUGGCAAAAAUGUAUCCCACAUCUUCCACUUUGCUGUCGCGUGUCUCGUGCAGCUAAACCCCACGCGCAUACAAGGCUGCAGCCCGCGCCUCUAAUGUGCUGCUGUGCCUUUAAAGAGGGCUCUCUCCUCGUUUCUAUGCAAUUAUGUUAAUAUACAGAGCUUGUCUGGUGCUCUUCAUUAACCGCUGCAGUUGCAUCAUUGUUUCCUUUAUUUGUUAUCUCUGUAAAGCCAAUGAUUCAGCAACAGGCUAUAUUUUGGUGUUUUCUUCCUUACAAAUAUGUGGUCUUUAAUAGUGAUGGAUGAAGUAGGCCGUAUGUAAAGUAUUUUUUAUAAAUAUUAGCGUUUAUUUGUGGUUUUCUAUUGCAAAUGAUCCUAUCUCAAGGUCGUGCUUUGCAUCGGGUUUGUGUUGGACAUCGGUUUCUAAAUAGGCAGACAAGGUCCUACCUUCAGUGAGUAUGCGAAUAAUUCCUUGUUCAGAAGAAUAUGAUUAUUUAUUUUCGAUAUCAAAUAUUUUCAGUACAUUGUGAGAUUACAUACAUUUAAUAUUGCAUUGCAGUCUGUGUAAUAUUAGACUUUGUGAAAUGCAGUUUAACGUUAUAUCAACCACAUAACCUACAUUAGGUAGCCUACCCUUUUUUCAUUUAUCAUGCCAUAUUCAUAUUCCUAGCUUGUUAACAUAAUUGUCCAGCUAAUUGUCUCAACGUGUAAUUUCUAAGUUGCAUAGCAACAGCAGUCUGUGCAAUGAAAGCAAUGACCUGCUCUGAUCAUUAGAAUCAUUUCAUCCAGUACUGUGACCAAGAGACAUAUUUUCAGUUCAAGGUGAGGUGCCUAUACGGUAAACUUCAAUACCUAUGUCCUCUCAAACUACUAUAGAAACAUCUAUAGUGUAUAAAAAUAUAUUGUAUAGAAAUACAUUUGCCCUGUUAUAUUGACUGAUAAUUUAAAGCUAUGAAAAAAUCCUACUGCAAUUAUAGUCUUCACCAUAACCCAGAUGAUAAUAUAAACAGAACAUGUCGUACAGUACACCAUCCAACAUGACUGGUAGGCCUAGCCUACAGUACUGUCAAUCGUGUUUCCCUCUCUAUGAUAAACACACAGAUACAAUCAUAGUUGCUGUUGUCUUAUUUUGUGAAUAUGCACAUUUUUUAUGACAGAUGUAAAUAAAUAAAAAAGUGCUGAUAAUAAGGAUAUAUAAACUGUAGUUAAUCUCUGUUAUACAUAAAGACAACAUCUGAAAUGACUGAAACUAAUUUGGGCUAAAUGAGUCACCCCCUGUGCACAUUUGUUCUUUUUUUGAAUAGUUUUUAGCUUAAUAUCAAGUAGACAAAGUGACCAAGAGUGGAAGUAAACAAUGAGGUGCAAUGAUGGAAAAUGAAAAGGCCUAUCACUUUGUAUUAUGUAAUUCCAUGUGCAACGUAAGCAAUAUCCAGAUCUUUGAGAUUACAGUAUAUACAGGAACAAUUGUAGCUCGAAGACAUCUGGUAGGGUGCAUAUGAAUGUGCAAAUGAUGUACAAUAGUCGUGAAACACAGAAGAUGUACGUAGGUAUUAGACACAUUAUAGUAUGAGGUAUGAAUGCAUACACCAUAGACGUAUCGCGAGUGAGACAGAAGUUGUAAGCUAAGUAUGAGAAAGCAGUGGGUUUAGAUGUGAGACACAUAUGUAAGAUGUAUGUAUGAGACAAACAGCGGUUUGAGAUGUGAGGGUUGAUUGUAGGUUUGAGACAGAUUGAAGGUGUAAUGACUAAAGAAAGAGUGAGCUAGCUCUGCUCUGUGGCUGAAGGCCACAAGGACGUCAUCAUCAUCUCACAUGACCAGAUUUAUGUAACCUGAGAGUGCAAGGAUUGUGUGUGUGUGUGUGUGUGUGUGUGUGUGUGUGUGUGUGUGUGUGUGUGUGUGUGUGUGUGUGUGUGUGUGUGUGUGUGUGUGUGUGUGUGUGUGUGAGAGAGAGAGAGAGAGAAAGAUAUAUGUUCAAAAUUAGGAUUAUUUAAGAGAUAAAUAUUUAUUCAUAUGGAAAUACGUCUAUUUAAUGUGGUGUAUUGUAAAAAAAAAAGAUAACUGCUUGUUUGUUGCCAUGUGUGCUGAACGCACAUGACAAUCAAACAUUCAUACAAGGCUAUUGUCAGUUCGUUAAUGCAAUGCCUCGUUAACAUCUAAACAGUAAUGGAUGGGGCUGCUUUUUCUCUAGCCUACAAGCGUUCAUUUAUUUAAUAUCUCCUAAGCCCUGCCACACUCGUUAGCCAGUUCAGACUGGAGAGGGUAAGAUGAGGGCUGACAGAGGCUAGCCUACUGAUGAGGGGACUGAUGGAUAAAAGCCUGAUAGAACCAAUGGUGCAGCCAGCCCUACCUCAUGCCAACACAGCCAUUUUAGGAGCAGCAGCAAGACUCUCCAUCAAGAUGGCUUCCGUAGCUCAGCCCCAGUCAGUCACACAGAGUCCUCUGGCUGCCUGCGAGGGGGGCCGCUCUAACUGGCAGCUCCUUUGUCCCCGUUGGCACAGGGUGGAGGCAUCUCGCCCGUCCUUUUCUCCGGGGGCACAGAUGGCACCAAAGGCUUCCGGUGAUGGAGAUUUAAGGGAAGAGGGACAAGGGGGUUGGCCUUUUUCUUCCCCUCCUGCUUUUUCCUUUUUUUGUGACGACUGUGCCACUUUCCCCUCGCUCAAUCCAGACCUGGUGUGAAUGGCUGGCAGUCACUGUGGAGGAAAUAAAGCACAAAACAGACCCCCUUUUAUCACUGCCAUGGCAACUACCACAUAAUCUGUCUUUAGGGAAAUAAAAGGACAGAAACUGUAAUUCCUUUGUAUCCGACACAGUCACACCACUACAAGGUACUAGACUCUGGGUGAAGCUUUUGAUAGUAAUCCUAAUAGAGUACAGUCUGGUUAUUUGACUCAAGCAAUGGUGUACAGUAGGCUGUAUGGCAUAUAUUGCACUGGCUUUGUGCUACCCAUAGUGGCUGCAAUGUUGCUUUAGUGUGUAUGUGAGCCGGCUGUCGUUUCAGACCGUGGGAGAGGAUCAGUGUAUUAGAGACAAUAGAGAACGAGCCGCUCUCAACAUCAUUAAUUAAUUAAAGGGGUUGCCAGCUCGUCAGAGAGUGGUUAGAUGCCGGGGAGAAAAAACAUUACCCGCCAGCCACCCUAGAUCUUGCCAGCAAAAAAUGCUUUGUUGUGGUGCGUUGUCCCGUUUAGCAUAUGGUCUGAUGCAAAGAGCGCACUAGUUCAUCAGUACUUAUUUAUUUCACAAAAAAAGAUUCAUGAGUAAAUUGAUGUAAAAGACACUCGUAAUACUAAUUUCUAUUUUAGCGUUCUAAUCUAUGCCUUCGUGAAUAAAAGGAGGAAAUAUAGUUUCAGGCUGUAAGAUGUACUCAGAAGAGCAAUCUGAUUGGUACUGUGGCAAGUCAAAUGAAUUUAGCGUCCAUAAAGGAGGUUAUUCUAUGAUUAGCCUAUAAAAGCAGAGAAUGAGAGGGAGUGGGAGAUGGAGACUGUAGUUCCUCCAUCUUCAGGGAGAAUGCAUUUUUGAAGAUCAGUGAGGAACGUGGGUGGUGGGUGGGUGCCUGGUCGGGAAAACAAAACCCAGAUGAGAUGAAACAGGCAGACAGCCUCUUUGUAAACAGAAUGGAUUCAGAGGAAAGAAGUGGAUGAAGCAGAUGCUGAAGUUUCAGCGUUUUCCCUCCUUUACUCCUCUGCUCUUUCCUUCUUUCUGUAGUACAAAGCUGAAGGCAGCAGCGUCAGAACCUGACGACUACAGGGAGCAGGCUCAGAUCUGGGUCACACUGCCACCAGCACAAACCAGGAACAUACUGGAGCUUUUACCCAUCUUCAUCUCCACCAAGGCUCCCAUGGAGGCAUAGAGAAACAUGAAGCCAAGAGGCACAGAGCUGCAUCCGAGCACCUGUCAUUCACACCCCCAUUGGUUCAUGUUCAUGUUCUGUUUUCAACCUCUCUCUCAUAUUCUCUCCUCUCAUCAUGCCUCUCUAGAUCUGCCAUUGGGUGUUACUCUACCAUAUAAUAUGCACAUGUACUGUAUACCUUUCUUACCAUAUAGUAGACAGCGUGUGCUGUUCACACUGCAGAGUUUCUGUGUGUAUCUCAGGCAGCCACUGCAGUGACAAGGGCACUGGAUCAACCUUUGACAAUAACAAAGACAUUUCCAAAUACAAUACAAUGCAAUAGUGAAAAAAAAGCAAAAACACAUCCAUUAAAACAAUACGCUUGAAUUCUCAUCACUAACAUUCAGCGACAAUUAAUUUGAUCAUUGUCGGGUUAUAGAAUAGUCAUGCCAAGGGUUCUUCUACAACAUUCAAAGGACACGUUUAUAUGGAUUAGGCCUAGAGAAGAAUUGAGUGGUGAGAUAGGUGUGGUUGAAUUAGAUAAUGUCUCCAUUCUUCUUUGUUGGGACUUGUAUGGACCAGAGCCUGCAUUACAGUUAAUGAUGAGGAGAUUCAGAUAGGCAGGCUGGAGGUGGUGGACACAAGGCUUUUGUUUUGAGUAUAGUAGAGGUACAAUCAGAAUGCAGUUAGUGAAGAAAGGUGAAGGGUACAAUAAAUAAUAAUAGAUGGAUAUUUUAAACAUAUAUUGAGAUUGAUUAGAAUAUGAAGUGUUCAAAUCAAGUGAGUUAAUAGUAGUUGUUCAUUUCCAUCAUCAACAACUAGCCUACUUUCAGUAUUAAAAGACCUGAGGAGGAAUGUAGAUAUCGGGCUACACUUGGGUAAUGUAAAGGCCUACACUUGGGUAAUGUAAAGCUCACAAUAGACGUCAAGAGGAUGCGGUUUUGGUUAAGGACGAGAUUAUCAGAGUAGCGACUUGUAGGCCCUACGUCACUGUGUUGACCAGUGGAAAUUCUAAAUUGUCUGGUGACACACUAGAAUGGAGAGAUCCGUCCGGUCGUGGGAAAAGCUCGCUUGGACGUUUCACAAAUCCACCGUAUAGCCUCCUUUACUGAAUCAAACCAAUUAGCCAGGAGCGCGCUCCAGCCAUUGAGCGCCACUGUAGGCUCUGAGAGGAGUUGUUGGUUGAAUGAAAAUCCAUCCCCGGAUUUGGUUCUCCAAGAGAAGCUAUAGAAGUUGCCUUUUGAGGGACAGCUAUAGCACCGUGAAGGGCCAGGCAGAAAGUCCAAAUUGAGACACUUGAAUAAUUUGGGCCGAUUAGGUGUGCACACAAUGCGUCAAAGUAUUGUGUGACUCACAUGGGAGGUAUAACGCAUUUCAAAUCUACAAAAACCAUGAAUAUCUUAAGUGUUCUUCCUUUCUAGGUAACACGACUCAAUGUGAGAACACAACUACAUUUUUCUAUUUUUGAAAUGAUGUGUUUAUGUAAUGACAUGGAUCGCUUGACUUAAUAUCGACUGAAAGAUAUCAUUAGCCUACGCUUUUUCAGAAUUUCAGUGCAAGGGCUAGGUAAAGCCUACAUAGCUCAUCUUAAUCAGGACCGUCUUUUUCAUAGGCGUUGGUCUACAGUAGGCCUAAAUACGUCAUAAAGGCUAAUAUCGGCCAUUUUCUGGAAAAUUAAAACGUUUCCACAUUUUUAAGAAUGAAAUCAAUAUGAGCUACAAAUCUUAAUCCAUUUCAUUAAACCAUAAUUCCAUAUGUGUUUGCGUGUACGUAAACCUGAUUUAUGCAGUGAGAACUAUAAGGAAUACAGCAUCAACUAUGGAUACUUUGAUGCAACAAAGCUUUAUUCAUAUUCAGGCCUGAAUACCAAUUGUUACAGUUCACUCAUGUGACUGGAUAAAGUUAUGUAUUCCUCUGACUGGAAAAAAAGCCUUUUUAUGAAGUAUUUUUCGUUUUAGAAGAUGUUUUAGGCAAAAACACUCCAUAUGCUUUGCGUGAUGGAAUAAAUAAAUAUAUAAAGAUCAUUCAAGCUCCAAGCAUACUAAACAAAACUGGGACAAAUAUACACUUCAAUUCACAGCAUGAUUGUAGAAAAUUUUGACUUUUCAUUUAAAGGCAUGCUAUAAAGAUGAUCCUACUUAUAUUUUGAGAAUAUCUUCUCUAAAUUAAAUAUGAAAACGUAUUAAAAAUAAUUUCGGGUUGUAGCAGGUUUUGAGGAAUUCAGAAGUGUUUCAACAGAUGUUUAUAAUAAGUGAUUAGGGGAAAUUGUUAUAACUUACCGGAAAGGCACUGAGGUAUUGGCCUGUAAUUGCAUAUCAAUUAUGUUAUGUGUCUUUACUCCCAGACACCAUUUAUUCCUGUCCGAGUCGCAGGUUUGGAGGACAUUCCUACUUUCGGUUAGCUAGCUUUAUGACGGCCGAGUAACACUCAUACAGCUAGAUAACCAAAGAUAGCAACCGACUCCUUCUCGUACAUACUGCCAGAGUAUCGUAUGGGUUCCACCUAACAUGGAAAAUAAACAUUUUGUUAAUGCAAUAAUUAGCCUAAUAACGAUAUUGCUACCACCAAUUGGUAUCCAUAAAUGUGCCCCCUUCCCCCCAAAAAGAUAAUAAUAAUAAAUAGGCCUACAUCAAUAGACAUCAAUAGAAAUAUCUCUGAUUAUUAGUUGAUGUGCAGGCCAUGGGGUCGAUGAAUAAGACCCUGGGAAAGGUUUUAAUCUCUCCAUCUCUAACUAUUCUCACCGAUAUAGACCCGUGCAUGGUGACAUCACUAGCAUGUUAGCCUAUAGGCCUACAAGCCUGGCCUGGACGUGCAACCAGCUUCCCGCCUUUUGUGAAAGAUCCUUAAAUUCUGCAGAACUUAAAUCAUCGCCAUAUUAAAUCCUGAGUCACUUUAGAGUAAAUCGAUCAAUAGACUCUCAACCAGUGGAGGACUUGGCUAACAUUGAAAUGUUCUAUUUAUAGGCCUAUAGCUCUGCUCCCAUACAC
rnacentral:lncRNA from 1 species